rnacentral:tRNA from 1 species
UUGAUGGUGGCUUAGUGGUAGAGCAUUAGACUGCAGAUCUAGAGGUCCCGAGUUCGAAACCCGGCUGUUGCG